rnacentral:rRNA from 1 species
AGAUCAAAUUGUUGGUCGUGCCUCGGUACGUACUGGCAUUAUUGAUUUCUCCCUUCUGAAGAACCUUGAUGUCAUUAAUUUGGUGUCUUGGGAAUCAGGACCGUUACUUUGAAAAAAUUAGAGUGUUUAAAGCAGGCUCACGCUUGAAUACAUUAGCAUGGAAUAAUGAAAUAGGACGUUUGAUUCUAUUUUGUUGGUUUCUAGGAUCGACGUAAUGAUUAAUAGGGAUAGUUGGGC